UUUUAAAGGAUAAUAGCAAUCCAUUGGUUUUAGGCACCAAAAAUCUUGGUGCAAAUCCAAGAAAAAA
rnacentral:tRNA from 1 species